rnacentral:rRNA from 1 species
UGAGGAAUAUUGGUCAAUGGGCGAGAGCCUGAACCAGCCAAGUCGCGUGAAGGAAGAAGGUUCUAUGGAUUGUAAACUUCUUUUGCAGGGGAAUAAAGGACGGUACGUGUACUGUUUUGUAUGUACCUUGCGAAUAAGGAUCGGCUAACUCCGUGCCAGCAGCCGCGGUAAUACGGAGGGUCCGAGCGUUAUCCGGAUUUAUUGGGUUUAAAGGGUGCGUAGGUGGAUUGGUAAGUCAGUGGUGAAAGUGUGUAGCUCAACUGAAAAAUUGCCGUGGAAACUGGCGAUCUUGAGUGCAAAUGAGGUAGGCGGAAUGUGUUGUGUAGCGGUGAAAUGCUUAGAUAUAACACAGAACUCCGAUUGCGAAGGCAGCUUACUGGGAUGCAACUGACACUGAUGCACGAAAGCGUGGGUAUCAAACA